rnacentral:lncRNA from 1 species
GGCAGAGAUCCACCAGGAGAGAAGAGGAGGAGAGAGGAGAAGAUUCUGUGUUUCCUGCACCAAGCCUGUGGUCUUCACUGGCUGGAUGCUGUUGCUAUGGUAACAACAGCUUAAGAGCCUUAGGCCCCCCUCUGGGGUGACAGGCUUGGAUGGAGAUGGCUGAUCAAAUUCCUAGAGCAUCCUCAGCCUUCUGGAUGCGAGGCUUGGGUCGCUGCCCUUGCCCACCAGAGCCAGCUCCUAGAAGUAUGCGUGUUGUGAUGCUCCACCUCAGAGGAGCGUCUCAAGGGUCCAGCUGUUGUCCUUGCUGUCUCCCGACAGGCCUCAGCUAGAUGGAACUUGCCUGACAAAUUCCCUCCCUCUGCCUACCCUCCUCCUGGUGGCUCCUGGGGUCACUGCCAAAUGCAAAGUCCUUGUCUUAAGGUCUGUUAAUCUGGGGAUCAUCAAGACAAGAGGCCCUGCCUACUUUAUUAUCCAAGUGAGUGGUAGUUUGGGCUGCCUAAGGCCAAUUCCUUGACAAGGUGACCCCGGCUGGCCUUGCCAUAUGAGACUCUGCAGUCUCAACCCUUAAUAAUA